AAGAUUCGAACCCCAAACCUCUUGCACACACAAAGCCUUAACACACACACUCUAAACAUUGGGGUAGUGAUACAUCCACUAACUUAGUUACAAACAUUAACAUAUAUAAUAAAACGAUUAAAGAAACUGUAAAAUUACACCAAUUCAUCGUCUUCUUCCUCAUGUUUUUGCAUGUUUCUUUUAUUUUUUUCAAAACUUCAAACA
rnacentral:lncRNA from 1 species